CACUAGCUCGAUAGCUAGCCGGGGGCUAGGUCACUAGCACGGACCGACUCACCAUGGUUGACCCACAGGAAAAUAGCCCGCAGGACAUUCCUGACUAUGACGGCAUAGAGGAUGAAGCUUUCCCCCACUCCCACCACCACACUCCCCAGGCCGGGGAGGCCAGGAGGAAGGAGACCCUUUUGCAGAUGGAGAUGAAGGUGAGGUAUCACAGCUGGCUGAUGUCCCUACUGCUAAAAGGAGAGGCGUGAAGAGACCCCAACCCAAGCUGGACUCC